GCCACGGCUAACUACGUGCCAGCAGCCGCGGUAAUACGUAGGUGGCAAGCGUUAUCCGGAAUUAUUGGGCGUAAAGCGCGCGUAGGCGGCGAGAUUAGUCUGAUGUGAAAGCCCCCGGCUCAACCGGGGAAGGUCAUUGGAAACUGUUUCGCUUGAGUGCAGAAGAGGAGAGUGGAAUUCCAUGUGUAGCGGUGAAAUGCGCAGAGAUAUGGAGGAACACCAGUGGCGAAGGCGGCUCUCUGGUCUGCAACUGACGCUGAUGUGCGAAAGCGUGGGGAUCAAACAGGAUUAGAUACCCUGGUAGUCCACGCCGUAAACGAUGAGUGCUAAGUGUUAGGGGUUUCCGCCCCUUAGUGCUGCAGCAAACGCAUUAAGCACUCCGCCUGGGGAGUACGGCCGCA
rnacentral:rRNA from 1 species